rnacentral:rRNA from 1 species
GACGAAGGUGGCUAGCGUUGUUCGGAAUCAUUGGGCUUAAAGAGCACGUAGGCGGCCCGUCAAGCGUCUUGUGAAAUCCCUCGGCUCAACCGAGGAAUGGCAGGGCGAACUGGCGGGCUUGAGACAGGCAGGGGUGCGUGGAACUCUUGGUGGAGCGGUGAAAUGCGUAGAUAUCAAGAGGAACGCCGGUGGCGAAAGCGACGCACUGGGCCUGAGCUGACGCUGAGGUGCGAAAGCUAGGGUAGCGAACGGGAUUAGAUACCCGUGUA